rnacentral:tRNA from 1 species
AGGCCGAGUAGCAAAAUGGUUAUGCAGCGGAUUGCAAAUCCGCCUACGCCGGUUCGAUUCCGACCUCGGCCUCCAC